rfam:Mycobacterium smegmatis str. MC2 155, complete genome.
ACACAGGGAAGGAGGUGGUCCGACAAAUUGAGUGACUUAUGGACAUGUGAGGUGGCUGCCCGCUAGCAGCGCCGGGAGAAUAGCCCGCGCGCGCUGGCGAAUUCCCCGCAGCCACCCGGCCCCCGAGCCCCUUGGUCAGUCCAACCAGGAACAACGGCUCGGGGGCCGCCCCAU